rnacentral:rRNA from 2 species
GGCAGUGCGGGUGCUAUACAUGCAGUCGAGCGGACGGAUGGGAGCUUGCUCCCUGAAGUCAGCGGCGGACGGGUGAGUAACACGUGGGCAACCUGCCUGUAAGACUGGGAUAACUCCGGGAAACCGGGGCUAAUACCGGAUAACUCUUUUCCUCACAUGAGGAAAAGCUGAAAGAUGGUUUCGGCUAUCACUUACAGAUGGGCCCGCGGCGCAUUAGCUAGUUGGUGAGGUAACGGCUCACCAGGCCACGAUGCGUAGCCGACCUGAGAGGGUGAUCGGCCACACUGGGACUGAGACACGGCCCAGACUCCUACGGGAGGCAGCAGUAGGGAAUCUUCCGCAAUGGACGAAAGUCUGACGGAGCAACGCCGCGUGAGUGAUGAAGGUUUUCGGAUCGUAAAACUCUGUUGUCAGGGAAGAACAAGUACCGGAGUAACUGCCGGUACCUUGACGGUACCUGACCAGAAAGCCACGGCUAACUACGUGCCAGCAGCCGCGGUAAUACGUAGGUGGCAAGCGUUGUCCGGAAUUAUUGGGCGUAAAGCGCGCGCAGGCGGUUCCUUAAGUCUGAUGUGAAAGCCCCCGGCUCAACCGGGGAGGGUCAUUGGAAACUGGGGAACUUGAGUGCAGAAGAGAAGAGUGGAAUUCCACGUGUAGCGGUGAAAUGCGUAGAGAUGUGGAGGAACACCAGUGGCGAAGGCGACUCUUUGGUCUGUAACUGACGCUGAGGCGCGAAAGCGGGGGAGCAAACAGGAUUAGAUACCCUGGUAGUCCACGCCGUAAACGAUGAGUGCUAAGUGUUAGAGGGUUUCCGCCCUUUAGUGCUGCAGCAAACGCAUUAAGCACUCCGCCUGGGGAGUACGGCCGCAAGGCUGAAACUCAAAGGAAUUGACGGGGGCCCGCACAAGCGGUGGAGCAUGUGGUUUAAUUCGAAGCAACGCGAAGAACCUUACCAGGUCUUGACAUCUCCUGACAACCCUAGAGAUAGGGCGUUCCCCUUCGGGGGACAGGAUGACAGGUGGUGCAUGGGUUGUCGUCAGCUCGUGUCGUGAGAUGUUGGGUUAAGUCCG